rnacentral:lncRNA from 1 species
GCAACUUUAUUGGCACCACUUUUUAAUAGCAUGUGUUCAUUUGUAUAUCUGUGCCAUAUCUAGGUAAAUCUCACAAUAUUUCAAACUGUUUAAUUAUAAUUAUAUUUGAUAUGAUAAUCUGUAACCAGUGACCUUUGAUGUUACUAUUGUAAUUGUUUUGGGCACCAUGAACCACAUCCAUAUAAGACAAUAAAUUUAAUCAAUAAAUGUGUGUGUUCUGACUGCUCCACCAACUUAGACAAUUAGUUUUAGAUCUUUUAUUUAGACGAUGAGAAAAUUUAAACUAUAAAUAGGCCAGGUCUGGUGGCUUAUGCCUGGAAUCCCAGCAUUUUGGGAGGCUGAGGUGGGAGGCUCACUGGAGGCCAGGAGUUCAAAACCAGCCUGAGCAACAUAGGGAGACCUCAGCUCUACAACUGAAAAAGAAAUAGCCAGGUGUGGUCAUGGUGGCACCUGUCUGUAUUCCAGCCACUUGGGAGGCUGAGGCAGGAGGUUUGCUUGAGUCCAGGAGUUUGAGGUUGCGGUGAGCUACACAAUGAGCUAUGGUGGCACUACUACACUCCAGCCUGGGCCAUAGAGUAAGGCCCUGUCUCUAACUGGAAGUCCAAAGAGGGAUCUACUUCCAAGACUAUUAAUUUAAUAGAUCAAUAAAUUAAUCAAAAAUAUGAUUUUUUUCUCAUCUUUCUCUGUAGUCAUAUUUUAUACAGACUUUUUGUUUAAGUAAUCUCUCUUUAUGGGCAGACAAUGAUUUCAGAAACACCACAAAUUAUUCUCAAAGAGAAAAGACGAGGAUUUUUUUUUUUUUAGAAAAUGUAACUCUUUUCAGUAGCUCUUGGCAGACCUACCCUCACAUUUUCUUGACUAAAAACAGUCAUUAAAAAAAGUCAUGUAAUGCCCAUAUGAUUGACCUCAGCUCCAUGACAUUUAAGCACAACUUUCUUCCUACACCCAGAGUAAAAACAGAUGUUCACAUAAGUCACGUUGAUAACAUAACCUUUUCUGGUCGAACUGGGAGAGUAUGGCCCAAGACUUCAGGAAAACAAGAACACUUUUAUCAAGCAAAAUACUCCAAGGGCUCAGAGAUGAACUCCUAGUCUAAGGUCUAGUCCUGCAGAGGGACCCCUCUUUGGAAUGUAUAGUAUUUGAGCAAUUCAGGCCAGUCAAGUUAAACCUUUUCACCCAUGCCUAAAUGCUAUUUAAUAAAUGUAAAUAACAACGAUGAGAUAGUUUAUUAAACAUUUUUAUUGAAAUCCACAAAUAGUAUAUAGUUAAUUAAUUUUAACAAAGUGAUUGUACAUAUUUCACAAUAAAAUUCCCUUAAAUUACCAUCUGCUCCAUCUGCAAGUAAUUAUUAUUCUGAUUGCUAAUAACAUAGACUUUUUUUAACCUAUUUUUGAACUUUUAUAAUAGAAUUAAACAAUAUAUAUUCUUUUCUGGAUGGCUUCUGUUACUCAGAAAUGUAUUUAGGAGAGUCAUCAAAGCUCUCUUGGGUAUACCAUUUAUCCUUCUUGCUUGAUAAUACUCCAUGUAUGUAUAUAUAUGCUAUGAUGUGUUUAUUUUACUCUUGAUGGAUAACUGCAAAACUUCCAAUUUAAGCUGUUGUGAAUAAUUCUUUAAUAAAAAAUUUUGUACAUUUGCUGAAUAUGUUUAUGUGUUCCUGUUGGAUGAUAGUAGCAGAAUUAUUGGUCACAGGGUAUGCAUAUACUUAAUUUUAACAGAUAAGGUCAAAUACCUUCCAAAUUCAUUUUAACAAUUACAGUCAACCUGCAUUGUUUUAGAGCCCCGAUUGCAGAGUCAUUUUGGAUUAGUUUGUCUUUCUCUUAUUGAUUUUAAUGGAUAGUGUUAGGCUGUAAAUAAAGUUAUUUACGCAUAGUAAGAACUUUCUCAACAAAUUUUACUCAGACUUCUGCUCUACGCUAAGAACUAGCUCUGGAAAUUAAUUCACAGAAAGAACAUGGUUAGGGGCCAUCCUGAGGGAUUUACCUCACUAGGGAUAUAUAUUUACAUUUCAAGAGAAGAUGAGACCCAGUAGAUGCAUCCCAGAAGUUACAAAGCCGGAGAGUCUAGUGUUAUCUUUCCCCUAGAGAGAUUUAUUUUUAUCCAAAUGGUUAGAGUAAGAACUCAGAUUUUUUUCCGUUUUGUGACUAUGGAGACACACUCAGAAGGGGGUCAGAGCAACUGGGUCACUCUUCCACAAAAAUGCUCAGGUUCUUUUUUCCAGAGUUCUUUGCCUACAGCAGAUCCCCUUACAUGUAGGACAUCUGGUUCUCACCACAUCACCACCACGGUAAGAAUUAGUGGAAAGGAGAGCUAGGUUAAGGGCAGCUGUUUCUUUCCUUCUCUGCAGCCUCUGGUACCAAGUACUGCAUGACAUGUGUCUCACAACAUUCCUGCCUCUGCACCUCUGUGCUACGACACUGGAUGAAUCUAUGGAGUGAGCAAUAGAAAGUCUCUGAACUGCCAGAAACAACUUCAUUUUACAUGGAAGUGGCUUUAAAUCAAGCACAUUAACCUCAAUGAACUGAAAUUAAAUAUGUCUCUAUUCAACUUCCCCUUAGCUGAAUACUAAAAGUGCUGUAGGCUGGACCCGCACUACCUGACAGGGAGAUAAAUGACUAAAGGCAAAUGGGAGUCAAAACAGGUGUGGCUUUUCUUAUUUUUAGUUAAGCAUCUUACAUAGCAAAUUUUGCAAAACUCGUAUGACCCCGAGAAAGACCCAUACACAUGAAAGGUCUUAAAGAUUUAACUUUCUUAGCUUUAACGUAAGCUUUCCACUGGAUUUUCCCAUUACACUCAUUCCAUAAAGAAAUGAAAUAAUCAUGUAUCUCAUUAUAUAAUUAUACUAAAUUGAUCUCGACACAUUUUCUUAGCAAUAUAUACCAACAUUGUUUCCAAUAUUGUUUAUUACAAAUGAUGCUACAGUUGAAAUCUUUAUAUCUGAACGCUUGUGUGUGUGUGUGUACCUAUUCUGUGUAUAACACUGAUUUUAUUUAUUUGUAUAGGCCUGGAAGUGGAAAUACUGUGACAUAAAAUAGAGGCACAGCAAAUUAUUCAAGAUGUUGACAAACAGCAUUGUUUCCAAGUUUUUGUUCCCUUACAAUCCUUGCCAUUGGCCAAUCUCUCAGAAUCCCGUGUUGCUUAACAUUUAGUAGCUUAGUAAAUAUUUUAAAUCUCAGAGAUUUUACCUAACUGAUACCAGGGUUUUUAAAAUUUGUUUAUAUAGAUUAAGCAUCUUUGAAGAAAUAACAAUAUGCAAAAAAUAUGGUUGGUAUUCUUCAUGUUAAAACUAUCUUAAACUCUUUUCCAGAGGAAAAAAUAACAAAAUAGAAACCAAUGAAGGUCUUUUGCUUGGUGAUUACAUAUAUUGAUUACCUGUGUAAGUUAAACAGAUUGGGAAAAGGAAAUAUCCAAAAUUGUGCCUAGAGUAUAUCAUGACAUCAUGUAUAUAUGUAAAUAAGUUAAUUUUUGCAAUCGCAACAUAGAGAAAAAUGUUAUUUUAAAUGAAUAAAAAUAAAUAGAACAUAAAGUAAUAUUUCAGCAUAUUAAAUUUAGGAGUAAAAACCUUUGACAUCCCUGAAAAUCUUUGGUAAAAAGUCCAGAUUAUGAUAACUUGGCUUUAAUGAACUAGGAAAUAGAUGGAUAAUAGCACACACAUUUUUAGCAUUGUAGGGAUUAUUUUCACUGGUUGUAGGAUC